GGCUACACAUGCAGUCGAACGGUAACAGGAAGCAGCUUGCUGCUUCGCUGACGAGUGGCGGACGGGUGAGUAAUGUCUGGGAAACUGCCUGAUGGAGGGGGAUAACUACUGGAAACGGUAGCUAAUACCGCAUAACGUCGCAAGACCAAAGAGGGGGACCUUCGGGCCUCUUGCCAUCGGAUGUGCCCAGAUGGGAUUAGCUAGUAGGUGGGGUAACGGCUCACCUAGGCGACGAUCCCUAGCUGGUCUGAGAGGAUGACCAGCCACACUGGAACUGAGACACGGUCCAGACUCCCACGGGAGGCAGCAGUGGGGAAUAUUGCACAAUGGGCGCAAGCCUGAUGCAGCCAUGCCGCGUGUAUGAAGAAGGCCUUCGGGUUGUAAAGUACUUUCAUCGGGGAGAAAGGCGAUAAGGUUAAUAACCUUGUCGAUUGACGUUACCCGCCAGAAAAAAAACCGGCUAACUCCGUGCCAGCAGCCGCGGUAAUACGAGGGUGCAAGCGUU
rnacentral:rRNA from 1 species